GGCCGAUUAGCUCAGUUGGUUGAGUGUGGUGCUGAUAACACCAAGAUCACAGGUUCGAUCCCUGUUUGGUCCC
rnacentral:tRNA from 1 species